GAACAUACCAAUUGUUGCCUCGGCGGAUCAGCCCGCUCCCGGUAAAACGGGACGGCCCGCCAGAGGACCCCUAAACUCUGUUUCUAUAUGUAACUUCUGAGUAAAACCAUAAAUAAAUCAAAACUUUCAACAACGGAUCUCUUGGUUCUGGCAUCGAUGAAGAACGCAGCAAAAUGCGAUAAGUAAUGUGAAUUGCAGAAUUCAGUGAAUCAUCGAAUCUUUGAACGCACAUUGCGCCCGCCAGUAUUCUGGCGGGCAUGCCUGUUCGAGCGUCAUUUCAACCCUCAAGCCCCCGGGUUUGGUGUUGGGGAUCGGCGAGCCCUUGCGGCAAGCCGGCCCCGAAAUCUAGUGGCAGAGUGGCUGCAGCUUCCAUUGCGUAGUAGUAAAACCCUCGCAACUGGUACGCGGCGCGGCCAAGCCGUUAAACCCCCAACUUCUGAAUGUUGACCUCGGAUCAGGUAGGAAUACCCGCUGAACUUAAGCAUAUCAAUAAGCGGAGGAA
rnacentral:rRNA from 1 species